UUCUAGCCGUCCGAAGGUUAUGUCACCCAAAACCUCUUUUACGCAAAUGGACCGACGUUUUACUUCCCCAUCCGAUAGAAGGCCAGGAGGCUAAGGCGGGAAUCGAACCCGUGCCUUAGGCAACUUAGGAAUCGACAGCCGAAGCCGCUAACCACCGCGCCACGAGGCCUUCAAAGAAGAAAGUUAUUGUUAAAUAUGGAUUAAUCGAGCCACAGGUCUUUUGUGGUCUCUCAAAAUACAAACCAUUCCUUUUGACAAACCACAGGUAUUUUGUGGUCUCUACCGAACAUGCUUGGUUUGUUGUGUUGUUUGUACUUAUACGGGGGAGACGACUCCUACACCUGGAUGUAUGACUUAAUGGCCUAACAACAACUAAGGCCGGGAUCAACGUUUUACUACCCCAUCUGAUGGAAGGCUGGAGCAGAUGGAAAUCGAUCUUGGAUAAUGUAUCCAUUAUAUCACUUUAAAGCAUUGUAACGUCACCGAAUGACUGAUGUGUCAAAUAAAACUUAAAAAGUUCAUCUUACUUAAAAUUAUAUUUCCAUUAUUUUCAAAAGUAAAUCUUUGAUCCUAAUCUGUCAUUAUUUCAAGAUUUGGAUGGUUUUGAAAUAAAAAGAAUUCAAUUGAAUUCCAUUGUAUAGUUUUCAACGCAAAUGUGGAUUAGUUAGGCUUUUAUAGAAAAUAGUUCAAUUCUAUUCAAUUCAAUUCGGGUUUAUUUGUGAAUAAUCAAAAUACAAUGAGUUCAUUUAGGUACAUAACAGGGUUUUGGAGUUCCUUGCAGCUGUGUGUUACAUCGUAGUUCAAUCGAAGGCAUUAUUAUACUUAAGAAAAAGUUUUCAAAAAACUUACAGAAGUGCAAUGAGGAAAGGAUAGAUAAAGAGAAAGCUUAACACUAGAUCACAGAAAAAGAAAAUAGUUCAAAGUUUAAAAAAUGUAGCCUAAUAUUUUUGGAAAAGGUCGAAUGAAAAAUUGAAAUGCUGUUUUGAAGGUCUCGGGACCAAAGAGGACUUUUCUGGGAGCUGGGAGGAGAAAGUAGCGAAAAAGGAAACAUCAUAUGUUAUUACUUAAACUUAGAUAACUUGAAAAUUAAAGCGACGACCUGUGCUGCCGUUCUAUGCAUAAUUGCCUCAUGGAUAUGUGAUAAACAGAAAAAUAGUAAUAAAAUUUUGUCAUAAUAAAGAACAAUCUAUUUUCAGAAAAUGGCAUAUAAAAUAAAAACGUCGCGUUGCAUA